AGUUCGUGUCUUGAGAUGUCUGGUUUAUUCCGAUAACGAACGAGACCGGUGUCAGUUUAUUAGAGUUGCAAUUUACGAAUUGCAUCUCUUCUUAACGGGACUUUGCGUUCAAGCGCAAUGAAGUACCGGCAAUAACAGGUCU
rnacentral:rRNA from 1 species